UCCGAUUUGAAUAUCGGCAGUCUCGCUAGAGUGCCCAGCUCAACCUGAUGGCAACUAACGAUAGGGGUUGCGCUCGUUGCGGGACUUAACCCAACACCUCUAGGGUUGUCAGAGGCAUUCUAGCCCAGGUAAGGUUCUUCGCGUUGCGUCGAAUUGAACCACAUGCUCCACCGCUUGUGCGGGUCCCCGUCAAUUCCUUUGAGUUUUAGCCUUGCGGCCGUACUCCCCAGGCGGGGCGCUUAAUGCGUUAGCUACGGCACGGAUUCCGUGGAAGGAACCCACACCUAGCGCCCACCGUUUACGGCGUGGACUACC
rnacentral:misc_RNA from 1 species